GACGAACGCUGGCGGCGUGCUUAACACAUGCAAGUCGAACGGAAAGGCCCUGCUUUUGUGGGUUGCUCGAGUGGCGAACGGGUGAGUAACACGUGAGUAACCUGCCCUUGACUUUGGGAUAACUUCAGGAAACUGGGGCUAAUACCGGAUAGGAGCUCCUGCUGCAUGGUGGGGGUUGGAAAGUUUCGGCGGUUGGGGAUGGACUCGCUGCUUAUCCGCUUGUUGGUGGGGUAGUGGCUUACCAAGGCUUUGACGGGUAGCCGGCCUGAGAGGGUGACCGGCCACAUUGGGACUGAGAUACGGACCAGAAUCCUACGGGAGGCAGCAGUGGGGAAUAUUGCACAAUGGGCGGAAGCCUGAUGCAGCAACGCCGCGUGCGGGAUGACGGCCUUCGGGUUGUAAACCGCUUUCGCCUGUGACGAAGCGUGAGUGACGGUAAUGGGUAAAGAAGCACCGGCUAACUACGUG
rnacentral:rRNA from 1 species